GACGAACGCUGGCGGCGUGCUUAACACAUGCAAGUCGAACGGAAAGGCCCUGCUUUUGUGGGGUGCUCGAGUGGCGAACGGGUGAGUAACACGUGAGUAACCUGCCCUUGACUUUGGGAUAACUUCAGGAAACUGGGGCUAAUACCGGAUAGGAGCUCCUGCUGCAUGGUGGGGGUUGGAAAGUUUCGGCGGUUGGGGAUGGACUCGCGGCUUAUCAGCUUGUUGGUGGGGUAGUGGCUUACCAAGGCUUUGACGGGUAGCCGGCCUGAGAGGGUGACCGGGCAACUUUGGACUUGGAAGCGGACCGGGCCCCCAAGGGAAGCAAGCGUGGGGGAUUGUUCAGCAGGGGGCGGAGGCCGAAGCCGGCCCGCCCGGGGGAGGAUGAACGCCUUUGGGUUGUAAACCCGUUUCCCCCGGAGAAGAGGGGGGGUUGAGGGUAAGGGGUAAAAAAGACCCGGCAACCUAGGUC
rnacentral:rRNA from 1 species